rnacentral:rRNA from 1 species
UACGUAGGGACCAAGCGUUGUCCGGAAUCAUUGGGCGUAAAGAGCGUGUAGGCGGCUUGUUAAGUCUUGCGUGAAAUCUCGGGGCUCAACCCCGAGCGGUCGUGAGAAACUGGCAGGCUAGAGUGCGGGAGAGGAGAGUGGAAUUCCCGGUGUAGCGGUGAAAUGCGCAGAUAUCGGGAAGAACACCCGUGGCGAAGGCGGCUCUCUGGGACGGUACUGACGCUGAGACGCGAAAGCGUGGGGAGCAAACAGG